AGUGUCUGGCAGCACUGUGUUCCUGUUAGAGCCACCAGCACAAGCACCAGACGAUGCUGAUCCAGGUGAAGGCCCCAGUGCAGCAGCAACAGCACAUGAUGGAGACGAUGAUGAAGAGGAGACAUCUCUCUGGAUUCCAGAAGGCAUGAGGACCCAGAUGCUAUACAGUGGGAAAACCAGCCUGGCAACAUAGUGCGUAUUAAUAAAAGGACACCACAUCCUGCCAAAUUCCAGCUGCGCUAAUUGUAUUGUGUUCACAGAGCUCACAAGCUAUCAGAAAGUUGUAUGGCAACCACCUCCGGCGCCAAAUAGAACUGGCAGACAUAGACAUUCAGUACAAGAAGAAAAAGAUGGAAAAUCUUGCACUGGAGUCCGAAAUAAAAAAGAGGACAGUUAGGAAACUGGACCUUGAAAUAAAAAAACUUGAGAGGGAGGUGA